rnacentral:rRNA from 1 species
AACACAUGCAAGUGGAGCGACGAACCGGGCUUCGCCCCGGGGCAAAGCCGCGAACGGGUGAGUAACACGUGGGUAACCUGCCCUGUUGAUUGGGACAACCCCGGGAAACCGGGGCUAAUACCAAAUGUGGUCGGCGCCACAUCAGUGGUGCUAGGAAAGGAGGCUUCGGCUUCCGCAACGGGAUGGGCCCGCGGCCCAUUAGCUUGUUGGUGGGGUAAUGGCCCACCAAGGCUUCGAUGGGUAGCUGGUCUGAGAGGACGAUCAGCCACACUGGGACUGAGACACGGCCCAGACUCCUACGGGAGGCAGCAGUGGGGAAUCUUGCGCAAUGCACGAAAGUGUGACGCAGCAACGCCGCGUGAGGGAAGACGGCCUUCGGGUUGUAAACCUCUUUCAGUUGGGACGAAGCCACGACGGUUAAUACCCGUUUGUGGUGACGGUACCUUCAGAAGAAGCCCC